rnacentral:lncRNA from 1 species
UAGUUUAGCUAAGCUUUCUCCUCAUGGAGUGGUUGCAUGAACCACCUCCUAGUAUUGCACCUCUUCUGCUUAAUGAUGUAACAACUAUGUCCAAUGAAUAAAGACGGUGUUUUACUCGUAAAAAAAAUGGGAGAGCACCACAUGCCCUCUACCUGUAACAACCUUGCUCAAUGUACCAUCCGAAAUCCAAGGGUCCCCCGGUGAUUGCCUAAAAAAAAAGAAAUCCAAGGGUCGUCUUAGAUAUAUAUAUAUAUACCUUUGGACUAUCACCCAUCCGCAAUAUACAUACCCUCUUCAAAGUUUGCACACCGGCCAUAAUAUUUUGCCAUGUAAAAGAUGCACCUUUCUUCGCUUUUGUA